AGUUCGAAUCUCGUAUUCUCCAUUUCCGGUGGCGAUGCGGUCAGGGGCAACACCCGUUCCCAUCCCGAACACGAUGGUUAAGACCUGACCGGCCGAUGGUACUGCACUGGAGACGGUGUGGGAGAGCAGGUGGCCGCCGGAUUUAAAAAAUAAGAACUGGCCUUUACCAGUGAUCAGAGAUUGAAAAAACUUUUGAUUUCUGAUGACUGAUAAACCUCAGUCAAGAUGUGACCUUUGCACCUCAAGAACAAGUUCUUUCGGUCAUGGCAUUACAUGCCAAUACAUAAGAAAGCAAUUUUGCUUGNCAAACUCCGAAUGCCGGAAAGAUAGUCAUGGGAGUCAGACUACACGAGAUAAGUUGGGUAGUCGAAAGGGAAAGAGCCCAGACCUGCAGCUAAGGUCCCAAAAUGUGUGUUAAGUGGAAAAGGAUGUGGGAUUUCAAAGACAACUAGGAUGUUGGCUCAGAAGCAGCCAUCCAUUAAAAGAGUGCGUAAUAGCUCACUAGUCGAGAGGUCCUGCGCCGAAAAUGUCCGGGGCUGAAACACACUACCGAAGCUCAGGAAUUACGAAUGUAAUUGGUAGAGGAGCAUUCUUAGAGGGAGGAAGCAGUACCGUAAGGAGCUGUGGACUUCUAAGAAGAGAGAAUGCCGGAAUGAGUAGCGAGAGGAAGGUGGGAAUCCUUCCGGCCGAAUACCCAAGGUUUCCAGAGUAAAGCUGAUCUGCUCUGGGUAAGUCGGGGCCUAAGGCGAGGUCGAAAGACGUAGCCGAUGGACAACAGGUUGAAAUUCCUGUACUGCAGUAUGACAGAACUGUGGGGACGCAGAGGGAGAGCACAACCCGGGAAUGGGAUCCCGGGGCAAGCGGGGUAGGAGUGAAAUUGGCAAAUCCGUUUCACAAUCCGAAGACGUGACGCGUACCGAACUAUAAGUAGGGAAGUGUGUGAGCCAGCUGCCAAGAAAAGCCGCUAUCGUUCAUACUGUACCCGUACCGUAAACCGACACAGGUAGGUGAGGAGAGAAUCCUAAGGCCGACGGGAGAAGCAUUGUUAAGGAACUCGGCAAAAUGACUCCGUAACUUCGGGAGAAGGAGUGCCAGCGAGAGCUGGCCGCAGAGAAUUGGCCCAAGCAACUGUUUAGCAAAAACACAGGUCUAUGCAAAACCGAAAGGUGAGGUAUAUGGGCUGACGCCUGCCCGGUGCUGGAAGGUUAAGGGGAGAGGUUAAGGACUCGUCCUGAAGCUUUGAACUUAAGCCCCAGUAAACGGCGGCCGUAACUAUAACGGUCCUAAGGUAGCGAAAUUCCUUGUCGGGUAAGUUCCGACCCGCACGAAAGGCGUAAUGAUUUGGGCACUGUCUCGACAAUGCACCCGGUGAAAUUGAAAUACCAGUGAAGAUGCUGGUUACCUGCGCCAGGACGGAAAGACCCCAUGGAGCUUUACUCCAGCUUGAUACUGGGAUUCGGUAUUGUAUGUACAGGAUAGGUGGGAGGCUAAGAAGUGGUGACGCCAGUCGCCAUGGAGCCGCUGUUGGGAUACCACCCUUGCAGUACUGGAUUUCUAACCAGCAGCCGUGACCCGGCUGGGGGACAAUGUCAGGUGGGGAGUUUGACUGGGGCGGUCGCCUCCGAAAGGGUAUCGGAGGCGCUCAAAGGUCCUCUCAGAAUGGUCGGAAACCAUUCGCAGAGUGCAAAGGCAAAAGAGGGCUUGACUGCGACACCGACGGGUGGAGCAGGUACGAAAGUAGGACUUAGUGAUCCGGUGGUAUAAAGUGGGAUUGCCAUCGCUCAACGGAUAAAAGCUACCCUGGGGAUAACAGGCUUAUCACUCCCAAGAGUUCACAUCGACGGAGUGGUUUGGCACCUCGAUGUCGGCUCAUCGCAUCCUGGGGCUGAAGUAGGUCCCAAGGGUUGGGCUGUUCGCCCAUUAAAGCGGUACGCGAGCUGGGUUCAGAACGUCGUGAGACAGUUCGGUCCCUAUCCGGCGUGGGCGUAGGAUAUUUGAGAGGAGCUGACCUUAGUACGAGAGGACCGGGUUGGACUGGCCGCUGGUGUAUCUGUUGUUCUACCAAGAGCAUGGCAGAGUAGCCAAGCCGGGAAGGGAUAAACGCUGAAGGCAUCUAAGCGUGAAGCCCCCCUCAAGAUGAGAUAUCCCUACGAAAGUAGUAAGACCCCUUGA
rnacentral:rRNA from 1 species